rnacentral:rRNA from 1 species
UGAGGAAUUUUGCGCGAUGGGAGCAAUCCUGACGCAGCAACGCCGCGUGGGUGAAGAAGGCCUUCGGGUCGUAAAGCCCUGUCAGGUGGGAAGAAGGGUCCUAUCAGGAAAGGGGUGGGAUUUGACGGUACCACCAGAGGAAGCACCGGCUACCUCCGUGCCAGCAGCCGCGGUAAUACGGAGGGUGCGAGCGUUAUUCGGAAUUACUGGGCGUAAAGCGCGUGUAGGCGGGGGAGUAAGUCUGAUGUGAAAGCCCCGGGCUUAACCCGGGAAGUGCAUUGGAAACUGUUUUUCUUGAGUACUGGAGAGGAAGGGGGAAUUCCCGGUGUAGAGGUGAAAUUCGUAGAGAUCGGGAGGAAUACCAGUGGCGAAGGCGCCCUUCUGGACGGUUACUGACGCUGAGACGCGAAAGCGUGGGGAGCAAACAG